rnacentral:lncRNA from 1 species
CGCGGGCGCGGAGGAGCGCGCGGUGCGCGGAGCCUGCUGAACGCCUGGAGAUGAAAAGUUUUGGAUUUUCUCUCCAGUAUAUGGCGUUAGUGAAACUUGACCAGUCAGCAGAUGUCCAGGUGGACGCAAACCUCGAUGGAGGUAAACGUCACUUGGCCACUUGGCUGAGCCAGCAAUUCUUGCAGCCAACCCCGGCGGUGAACCUCGUCUGGCCUCCAAGGACACGCCUCCUCUGCUUCCUUAACUCAUAGCCCAGGUUGAACCUUCCACCUCUGUGAGCCCGCUGUCACCAUCCCACUGACAAUCUUCGUGUCCUUACCUGUUAAGCUGCUGAGUGUUAAAGCUCUAAAGGUCACAGAUGAAAGUUGUGGCAAGACACGUUUGCAGACCUGUUGCUUUUGUAUCCCUCAUCUUAUCAUUUUAGAAGCCUUUUGCCCUAACUUUCUGGAAGAAAUGGAGAAGGCAAACUCUUUUUUAAACGUGGAUUAUGACACUAGCAGCCCGAUCAAAGAAUUGGGUCCUCAGUAAUCUCCACAGAGCAAAGUUACAGAAAGGCAGAGGAACUCGGGGCUGGCAGAGGGAUGUAUGUCAAAUUGUGCAACUGACCAAAACUUAAAUUAUAGUUCAGAAAUGUCUCACAUGUCUUACGGUACAUACAUGGGUUUGGUUGAGACUUAUAAUCACACGAUGGAAUAUGAAAGAAGAGUAUACUUAAUAUUCAAAUGUGUGUGUUUAGAAACCCUGCAGGAAAGAAGAGAAUAGAGUGUGAGACUCAGAAUCCAGGAAAUGCCCCCGCCCCUGGCAAAGCCUGUAAGUGUUGAGAUAAACUGGACCCAGUCAUCAUCCUACCAUGCAGCUGAUAGAUCUCGUUAGUUCUGUGUUCUCCUUUGGAAAAGGGUACUUAGCAACUUAGAAAUGCCUGUUACAGGAUAGAAACCCUCCUCUGUCUACAUAUUACUGUUUGGGGCCUCCAAGACGUUGAACAUAAACUAUUUAAAAGCUUCAGGGGGAACAUAAUAAUGACCCUGGAAAUAGAGGUUUCUAUUUAUCCGCGAGAUUUGUGUAUUACAUUCUAUCAUUGCCCAUCCUGCACAGUCCUGUGCCAUACGUGUAAUGGAUGCUCAACAAUUAUUGCUCAAAGUCAUGAAUGUUUUUCCUUGGGUAUUGAAAUGCUUAAACACUGCUAGUGGAAAUGUAAGACGGCACAGCACUUUGGAAGACAGUUUGGGACUUCCUCAAAAAGUUGGUAAC